CUGUGCCUACGGGGGGCAGCAGUGGGGGAUAUUGGACAAUGGGGGGAACCCUGAUCCAGCGACGCCGCGUGAGUGAAGAAGUAUUUCGGUAUGUAAAGCUCUGUCAGCGGGGAAGAAAGCAAUGACGGUACCUGACCAAGAAGCCCCGGCUAAAUACGUGCCAGCAGCCGCGGUAAUACGUAGGGGGCAAGCGUUAUCCGGAUUUACUGGGUGUAAAGGGAGCGUAGGUGGCAGGGCAAGUCAGAUGUGAAAACCCGGGGCUCAACUCCGGGAGUGCAUUUGAAACUGUCCAGCUAGAGUGCAGG
rnacentral:rRNA from 1 species